rnacentral:tRNA from 1 species
ACCUGGGUAGCUCAGUCGGUUGAGCGCCGGACUUCGGCUCAGGUCAUGAUCUCACCGUUCGUGGGUUUGAGCCCCGCGCCGGGCU